AUUGAACGCUGGCGGCAGGCUUAACACAUGCAAGUCGAACGGGUGGCGGACGGGUGAGUAAUGCUUGGGCAUCUAGCUUAUGGAGGGGGAUAACUACGGGAAACUGUAGCUAAUACCGCGUACCUUAGGCUGAGCCCAAGUGGGAUUAGGUAGUUGGUGAGGUAAAGGCUCACCAAGGCGACGAUCUCUAGCUGGUCUGAGAGGAUGACCAGCCACACUGGGACUGAGACACGGCCCAGACUCCUACGGGAGGCAGCAGUGGGGAAUAUUGGGCAAUGGGGGCAACCUGACGCAGCCAUGCCGCGUGAAUGAAGAAGGCCUUCGGAUUGUAAAGUUCUUUAGGUAGCGAGGCGUUAACUACAGAAGAAGCACCGGCUAACUCCGUGCCAGCAGCCGCGGUAAUUC
rnacentral:rRNA from 1 species